UCGCGAGGACGACCUCCCCAUUUCGGGUCGACAUGCCGGGACGGCCCGG
rnacentral:ncRNA from 1 species